rnacentral:lncRNA from 1 species
AUUUAUUUAUCUAGAACCCAGACUCCUCACUCUGAGUUUCCUAUUUGCCAGAUAGAAUUCAAUCCCCCGUUCGAUGCUUGCCCAGAAGCUGUCUGAUUGUUAUUUUCAGCAACGGGCUUAAGUGCCAGCUGUUCAGGCAGUGUUUGGUGCAAGCACCCUUGGGUUCGUUUCAUCUUUCCACUGCUGCUCAGAAUUCCCUUUGAGAACUCUAAGUGUCAACAGGCACGAUCAUUAUCUGAGUCACCUGAUACGAUACAAGAAGAGAUGUCACACGAGCUGCCAAACAGGACACAUUAUUGCCAGGCUGUGUGCCCUGAGGGAGGCGACCAGGGCAAUCCAAGCAGAUGGUCUAUGAGCUCUGACAGCCAAAAGCUUUCACAGGGGCAUCAAAGUCACGAGUGAGCUGAAUCUUCAGCACCGAUCAAGGAAACACCAGCCGCCCUCUUUGCUGAGAGGAGAAGAAAGAAUUAGCCCUUCUCUGGGCCUGAAGUGGACUUGAACUUGUCCAAGGAUACUGAAAGCUUGGG